rnacentral:rRNA from 1 species
UGAGGAAUAUUGGUCAAUGGGCGGGAGCCUGAACCAGCCAAGCCGCGUGAGGGAAGAAGGCCCUAUGGGUCGUAAACCUCUUUGUCAGGGAACAAAAGCGAGUAUGUAUACUAGUCUGAGUGUACCUGAAGAAAAAGCAUCGGCUAACUCCGUGCCAGCAGCCGCGGUAAUACGGAGGAUGCGAGCGUUAUCCGGAUUUAUUGGGUUUAAAGGGUGCGUAGGCGGCGAUGCAAGUCAGCGGUAAAAGCCCGGGGCUCAACCCCGGCGAGCCGUUGCAAACUGACAGUGCUAGAGAAGGCGAGAGGUACGCGGAAUGCGCAGUGUAGCGGUGAAAUGCUUAGAUAUUGCGCAGAACUCCGAUUGCGAAGGCAGCGUACUGGCGCCUGACUGACGCUGAGGCACGAAAGCGUGGGGGAUCGAACAGGAUUAGAUACC